UUGAGACAUGCCUUAAAUGAUAUAUAAUGUGAUAUCAGUGUUCAACUUGACAGUGUAAGGAAGUGUUUUAUUACGUUAUUUUUAUUGGACUAUGAAGUCGUUUAUGAUAUGGGGCAUCUUAACACUAUUAACGACAGUUGCCGUGUAUUGCUUACCAGGAGGUGGCACCCAAUAUCGUACCAUUUCUGUCGAUAUUUUAGUUACAAUCCCUCAAUCAGCCGUGCUUUUGUUGACAGGCGUUGACACAACUUCCCAUCCAUCUUUUGGAUGUUCAGAUGUCGUCAGCUUACCGACAAUUUGUAACGGAAUAUUCGACUGUUACACUCACGUGUUCGACAUUGAAUGAUGUACGAUUUGUGGAUUCUUCGAUAUGAGAAAAGCGUAGUGAGAAUUGGAUAUUUAGAAAAUAAAUGUACUUCAUUCAUAUACGAUCCCGUGUCCAGCUGUUCCUGUUUGAACCUCACAACAUAUGCUUACACCACAAACCCUUUGAACAGAACUAACAACAAUAAUUCUUGGAGUUGCACAUCAACAUAAAAAAGUUCCAAAGGGACAAAAAGCAAAACCAAUGUGUACAUUUAUGUCAGAGGAAAGCAGUUGGCGAAUUUAUGUACAAGCUUUGUCAUGAAGAUAAAAUUAUAUACGUAUGUUACAAUGUAUAACAUAAUUUUAUUUUUGAGAGCAUUAUUGAACUUUUUGCAGUUUUUCCAAUCGCCACCAUUUAUGUGCUUCGUUAUCAUUUUAUAUUUGAUAUAUAUAUAUAAUUUUGUAUAGGAACAGAUUUUGAGACGAUGAUGCGGUUAUAUGAAUAGGUAUAUUCAUUGUUAUUGCCAAUCCCUUUGUACUUUUAUUUGUUUUAUAAUCUACAUGUGUAUUUCCAUCAGCUUCUCUAAUAUGGGAUCAAUGGUAUAGUUUAAAAUGUUAACAUGUUUACAUAAGGUUCCACCAGAGCUAGAUAAUUCAUAGCUUACGAUUGAGUAAAAUUAUAAUGCAUCUUAUUUAAAUAAUUUUGAGCGUUGUUGGAUUGAAUUAGUGCUCCUAUUGUGUAUAUUCGAUGUGUAGAACAUUUAAACAUACUAGCAACAGUGAAUAAUUUGUUGAACGUUAUUCUUUAUUCCAUGUAUUUAAAUGUCCACAGUACUCGUUUGAUAUUUCUUUUGUAACACAAUUUAAGGAAUGCAUUGCGUGAUGUUAUUAUCGGGGUAUAAACGCAGUAUGGCUGGUUAAAGUGUGCGGAGUCGGAAAGCAAAUGAUUAUUUCUCACAAAAACGACAAUAAUGACCAUUUCUCACAAUAACGACCAUUUCUCACAAUAUCAUCCAUUUCUCACAAUAACGUCCAUUUCUCACAAUACAGUUUACGAGUUACUUACAUAUAUUUUGUAAAAGAUCAUACGUUGCAGUUAAUUCCUGUGAUGAAGUGUGUGUAUGUAUUUAUCCUGUCACUUGAAUACAAAUUGGUCCAAUAACAAGGUGCCGUAUAAACUUUAGUUUAUUAGGAUAGUUGACCACGUGAUGUUUAUCUACAAACAGGUGGUCAUGUGACC